GGACCGGCCUGAGAGGGCGGACGGCCACAUUGGGACUGAGAUACGGCCCAGACUCCUACGGGAGGCAGCAGUGGGGAAUAUUGCGCAAUGGGGGAAACCCUGACGCAGCGACGCCGCGUGCGGGAUGAAGGCCUUCGGGUUGUAAACCGCUUUUGAUUGGGAGCAAGCCUUUUGGGUGAGUGUACCUUUCGAAUAAGCGCCGGGCUAACUACGUGCCAGCAGCCGCGGUAAAU
rnacentral:rRNA from 1 species